rnacentral:lncRNA from 1 species
GGCAUCAAUUGUCUGAGCAACACUGAAAUUCUAUUCCUGGUCUUCCUUUCCCAUCCCUUGCAUCGGAUACUUCUUUGAAAGUUCUGUUUGUCCAAGAAAAAGGUUAUUAGCAGGAGAGAUUUUUAAAAAUUACAUGCAUCCCUAGAGCACUCUCUCUAUUGAGAAACUUUGCAAAAAAACAGAAUAUUUGGCUUGAUUUAUUGCUCCUGCCCAUUUUUUCCCUCUUAUUAAUUUUUGUCACUAGGCAAUUGCUGUCAUGGCAACACACCACUCUAGUUUGAUAUCAACACUCUGGCUGUGGGAUGAACCCACAUACCCUUUUCCCUUCAAGGUGGGUUUUAUGAAGAUUUCCCCCUCCACCUAUCCUGAUACCAAGAACUGGAUUUGGCAUUGGUUUUAAGUUGCUCAGAUGAAGAUUCAAGGCUCAGAGGGAAGAAACUUCCCAGGCAUCAUACAGUUGGUCAGUGUUAGAGCCAGAAUUUAAAGUCCACUCUGUUAUACCGUUCUGAUAUUCUAAUCACUUUGAUUCCCUGCUGUUCCUGCCCAAGGCUCCUGCAGAUGCCAGGCACCUCUUAUGCUCAGUCAAGGAAGGUCUGUCAGCUUCUAUCAGCACAAAGGAGCAACCCAGUUAAGCAAGGUCAGAAGACUCUGAGGCAGCAGACAACUGGGGAAAGGGGAGAAUAGAUAUCUAAAAUCUAAGAAAGACAGUGUUUAUCACUGACCGCUUACAUCAAGUUAUUGGGUGCCCUCAUUUAUUAUGUUAAAAUGGUUGCAGCUGAUGUGAAUUCAUCUAAAAGCAAAGUCUACUCAUGAUUUUCAAGGAGAAAAAUGAAAGACAGUACCAAACCAAACCAAAGCAAACAAACAAAGAAACCAAAACCACAGCCCCUGGGCUCUCUCUCUAGUCCCAUGAACAUCUACCACAAUUUACUCAGAAAAAGAGCCGC